AAAAAACAUACUACACCUACCAACAUUUAAACACCCAAAGAGAAGGAGAAUAGUUCGUCAGCUGCCCCAAGAGGAUACAAGCAUUGGAAUGCAGACUCGAGAAACGUUGAAACCGGACAUGCAAUUUUCCCAAUAGAGACGCACAAACAUGAGGUUUACUGCGUGCUAGAGAACCAAACAUAAUGCUAGAGAAUUCAUGAUUGCCGAUGCUUGAUAGACUGACACAUCAAGGAUGUAACAUUUGAGGGAGAGUGCUUAAUAGUAAUACUACACCAACUCCAGAAGCUAACAAGUAUCAAUGACUAUCCCAAUCUAAUGCGAGGAGGUGAUCUAGGUCAUCUUAUAUUCUGUUGAUCUUGCUGCUUUAAUUCAGUUAAGAUAUGGGCGAGGUGAUUUUCUGGUCGAGGAGUCCAAGUGAAGCUGCAACUGGGAAUUCUAUUUUUGAUGGUUCUAAUGUCUUAGAGAAUGGGAUCAAUUUCCUAAAUUGAGCCACUAGAUUUGAGAAUUUCUAAUAUUUAUUUCCAUGGUUGUCUCAAAUCGCCAUUGUUGCUGCUCUAGAGUUGGAAAUAAAUGAGAAGGUUGCGUCUACAUUCAUUUUCAGCCAUUCUGGUGGUGGAGGUCUCCAAAUUACUGGCACUGAUUCUACUUUCCUCUUCUCUUUUGCCACAUAGUUGUUGGUUUCUUGAGAUUUGUAGAUGUCUUAUUCUAACAAGUUAGCAUGAAUUGGCGUAAUUCUAGAAUUAGAAUUUGUGUGCCUAAGAAUUUUUUCAUUUCUAUCCUUUCAAAUUGUCCAAGUUGUGAUUCCUGUCCUACUCUAUUCGUGCUUUACCUUCUCUCCAGUUCAAGUUAUGAUUUUCUUAGAGUUUCUUGCAAUCAAGAUGUGAUUAAUGAUACAUUUUGUUUUGUUGGAGUAUAAUAAGUUUGAGAGCCAAACAACAUGACCCUGUUCCAAUCGUAAAGUAAGAGUGCAUGCUCUACAGUUUCUUUCUCCUACAAACACACAGGACAUUUGCUACACUCAUUAAUUUUCUUUUUUGCCAGAUUUACCUUGACUGGAAGAUUGUUGUGUGUUGCUUUCAGUUUGAUGUUAUGAGGCACUCUCAUGUCCCAUAUUUCUUUCUCUAUAUCUUCUAAAUUAGAACUAGAUGAAGGCAUGCUACUUAAGGUUCUUUCCAAUUUUUUUUUUUUUUACUAUGUGGUAUUCCAUCUUGAUUGAAUACUCA